GUCGGUUUGUUUCUGCUUUUUCCUUCUCUUUUGAAAUACCUGAAACCCUUUGUUUCGUUUUCGUUUUCUUAUUGUUUGUGGUUUCUUAAUGAUUGGGAGCUCUUCGGGGGGAGGAGACUGAAACUCCGCUAAAGGUUGUUCACAAGAUGGUGAAACAUCGAUGACUUGAUAUUUGAUAGCUUCUUCACACUCUGCACUAUCUUCCAAAUCAAAACUUGAAGAAGAUUCAACUUCGUACAUUUCUUC
rnacentral:ribozyme from 13 species